UGGCCGUUCCUCAUCUCAAGCUACUUCAAUGUGCCUCUCUUUAAUUUCUUUCCUUUGAUUUUUUUUAAACUUUGCUUUGCAUUUUCUUCUAACCAUAAAAUGUACAUUUCUUUCUCCUUUUUGCCUUUCUACAAAGUAUCUUUUCACUUAUACCAGGUCUUAAUUCUUUUCAUUUUUGUUAAAUCCCUUUCAUUUUCUAUUUACUGCUUCUUUUGUUCUAUCCAGUAUCACUUUUCAAACAAUAUGUCAACCUUGCUCUCCCUUGUGAAUUAUCAACUGAUAGGGUCUUACAAACUUCUCAGCAAACUUAAAUAUUUUUGCUAGAAAUAUGACAAACUGCUUGUUCCAGGGUUGGUGACCAGCAUGUGAGGAGACCUGAUAGAUGUGUCAAGAACUGGAAUGAGCAUUCAGUCGCUGUGCUAUAAGUACCAGUCUCUGGCACCCAAGACUGAAAUGUGUUGAAUCAUUUAAUUUUAAAACUGAAACUUAAGCAAACUGCAACUCCCUCCACGCUGGAGGGCAUCCUAUUGGCUCCCAACACUCCGUGGAGUCAGGACCUGCAUUCGAACUUGGCUUUAGGAUGUCAACGGAAAGUGCAAUAUACUGCCCCUUGAUUCACCUGACCUGACAGAAAAUAACUUCCACAGAAAUAUAUUUCUUCCCUUUAACAUCUGAUCUCUGUUCAGCCCCCACCCCUCCCCACCGUCCCCCGCACCCCCCAAUUUACUCUUGGACAAUUAAAAUAGCUCGUAGUCACAACAUCGCCUUUUCCCUUGACCCGAUUUGUCUAUCCAAACAUCUAGGAGUUAAAUACUAUUUCUAAGUGCAUAUUCUUUUUUAAAAAAAUGUUACCGUAUUCAUUAUGUGAAAACCUGUUUAUUUUAAGUAUAUAAUGAAGGCAAUUUUCUGUUAAGAGUUUGCGACCCGAUCCUUACUAUGGGAUAUGCUAAUCUUUUAGUUAUUCAUCUAUCUGCAAAAGGCGAGACAGUAAAUAUCAUACUUGAAGCUUUUUCAGCAUUCAAACAUUAUCUCAUUAACAGAUAUAGAAAAGGCUACAGAAUAAAGUAUUCCCAGGGCUUGAAAAUAUACAGGUUUACACUUAAACUUUCCUGGACCCAUGUAUUCUAGUCUAUGGGAUGUAAGUUAUUUCUGUAAUGCACCUGGAAUAUAUUUGAAUGUUGAAAUCAGUGAAACAAGUGAAUUUAAUGCAAAUGAGAUAAACAUCCAAUUUCUGUUUCAAUUCACAUACUGGGGACUUUAUCUGUGUGACGAUGACCCCAGAUAUGUUAGAAAGACUACUGAAGUGGGAAACAGACAUGAUGUUUGCCAAUAGGAUAAUUUUUAUAUUGCAACCUAAUUAAAUGUGUAACAGGAUUAUUUGAGAAGAUGUUAUGUUUUAAUGUAAUAAUGGAAUGGAACAUUCUACUUUAAAUCAAUAUCUCCCUCUACUGGCUGUUAAAAUGUAUAAAAUGGGACAAACGGUAGCUUUUGGGAUUAUGCAAGAACUGCCUCAACUAUAUCUCAGUUUCCUACAAUUUGAAGCAUUAUGUAUGAGGGCAUUUGACUAGCUUUUAGAGUAAAUCCUGCUUAACUUACUAGACAAGCACUGUAUUGCUUGUAUUGUUGUACCGGUCUUACUUUUCCUUUCAGAAGUUAGUUCAUUCUGAUAUCCGGAUGAAAGGGCCAUUCAUUUUGAUGUCAGUGAAGUAUGUGAAAAAUUGAGUGCAACAGUUGACAUUUCCCUAGCUCUGUAAAGGGUUCUCAGUAGAAACAGGAAAAUCAUAAAUAAUACCAAAAAAGACUGUAUAUUUAACACACCAUACCCAUACAGCCAGUGAACAAUUAACUAAUCCAUAAUUCUGUGAACUAUUCUUGCUUUGAGUGACAAAGCUGCAGCUGAAGGCAGAGGCUGAAACAUGGGUGGUGUAAAGCUGGGUAAGAAAAAAAAUAAAUAAACGGGACAAUUUUUGCAAGAAGCAGAAGGUGACUAAGGCAAACAGAAAGCUAGGAAAAUUCUAAGUAACUGCAACAACAAAAAUGACAAAGGGGAAUUUGAAAUACCAAAAAUGGUUCAGACACUGAACAAAGAAAAACAUAAAGUAAACCAAAGAAACAAAG